GCCUAACACAUGCAAGUCGAGCGGAUGAAAGGAGCUUGCUCCUGGAUUCAGCGGCGGACGGGUGAGUAAUGCCUAGGAAUCUGCCUGGUAGUGGGGGACAACGUUUCGAAAGGAACGCUAAUACCGCAUACGUCCUACGGGAGAAAGCAGGGGACCUUCGGGCCUUGCGCUAUCAGAUGAGCCUAGGUCGGAUUAGCUAGUUGGUGAGGUAAUGGCUCACCAAGGCGACGAUCCGUAACUGGUCUGAGAGGAUGAUCAGUCACACUGGAACUGAGACACGGUCCAGACUCCUACGGGAGGCAGCAGUGGGGAAUAUUGGACAAUGGGCGAAAGCCUGAUCCAGCCAUGCCGCGUGUGUGAAGAAGGUCUUCGGAUUGUAAAGCACUUUAAGUUGGGAGGAAGGG
rnacentral:rRNA from 1 species